CCAACGCGGAUACCCCGGGAGGUCACUCUCCCCGGGCUCUGUCCUGGUGGCAUAGGGGAGCAUAGGGCUCUGUCCCGGGAUGUACAGUCCCUUCCCACGGCGUUGGAGAUGAAGCUGGGCUCCGCGCCCGCACCUGCAUAUUCCUACAGCUUCCCAGAGUCCUAUGGACAGUGACUGGGGGGACAAACCAUGCAGGAAACACCU
rnacentral:snoRNA from 12 species